rnacentral:lncRNA from 1 species
GUCUUUUAAAGAUAACUUUGGUUUAUUGAUUACAGAAAUCGAUAGUGAUUCAUGAAUAUCUUCUUUAAGUAAAUUUAUUAUUAAUAACAAUCUUCUAUUUGAUAAUACACCCCUAACUCUAAUCACCUCUCAGAUUUCCCCAAAUUGCACACUCCAUCUCCUUCUCCCUUCUCUCACUCUGCUCCAACUCCUCUGACUGACUGACUGACUGACUCUCUUCAGGCUCCGCCUCUUAUCACAUCUCUGUUGGCUCCACCUCUCAGCAUCAUGAAUAUCCAUGAACAAUUACCAUAACAAAACAAGAACCAUUGACAUAAUAAAGGGGAAUGCUACAGUCAUAUUGAGUAAAAGAAGGGUGGGGGUUAUCAUCUGGGGACAGUCCCUAGGGAAGUAUUAUAACUGGAAGAAUAGGAUAUUAUUUACUUCCCCUUCCCCCCAGCAUUGGCUGUUCAGCAUAAUUGAUCCAGAGGGUGAUGCUCCAAGUACAUUGAAGGUGGUGACAGCUAGAGGCGGACAUGCAGUGGUUCGAGAGCAGGAGUCAGGGCCAGUGGAGAUGAUAAUGUUGGAUGUGCAACAGGCUGGAAGGGUCCCCAGGGGGACUGAGAUGCAGAGUUGCAAUGUGGCAACUGACACCAAGCACAAUGAAUGGAAUGGAAGUAUUUCCAGAAGUUUGAAUGGAACAGAAGUGGUUACUUGAUAAUUGCACUGUUCUUUCUGAACUUUACAGCCAAUUUGUUAAGAUGCUCAGUAUUUUAUUUGCUUUAAAGUUUGCUUUUGUUGCAUCUGUUUUGCUAACAAUUUCCAACUCCUCUUUGCUUUCAAGAGGAACACCAACCAAAAUUAAAGGAAUGCAUUAUGCCAAACCGCUUUUGUUGUUAUAUGGAGUGCAAUAACUCAAAUGGGUCCAAAUUGUCGGAAACAAAUGAAAGCCGGCCCUGGCUCAAGAACUGUAAACCUAUGAUGAAUUCAGCACACUCAUCCUUAGCU